rnacentral:rRNA from 1 species
GGAGGUAGUGACAAUAAAUCACAAUGCGGGACUGUUAGUCUUGCAAUUGGAUUGAGAACAACGUACAACUCUUAUCGAUAAGCCAUUGGAGGGCAAGUCUGGUGCCAGCAGCCGCGGUAAUUCCAGCUCCAAUAGCGUAUAUUAACGUUGUUGCAGUUAAAAAGCUCGUAGUUGAAGUGAGGGAGUGUGUGUUCAUGAGAGCUAGUCUCGAGUGUUCACAACCUCCCCCCUCCAAUCGGUGUAGUGGGGUAUUCAGUUAUUCUACUACUCCUUUGGUCGUUUACUGUGAGAAAAUUAGAGUGUUCAAAGCGGGCGUUUGUUUGAAUAGAUUAGCAUGGAAUAAUGAUUGAAGGCUUUCGUGUUCGAUUUGAUUGGUUUGUUCAUGGAAGCAAGGUUAAAAGGAACAGUUGGGGGUAUUCAUAUUCACUAGUUAGAGGUGAAAUUCUCGGAUUUAUGGAAGAUGAACAAGUGCGAAAGCA